rnacentral:rRNA from 1 species
AUGGCCGCGCCGUUCCUCUCGAUCCGGACGGGCAUCAGCACGCCGAGUCGUCCGGAAGAAGAACCACCGGAGUUAGCCCAAGGGCUCGCCGGAAAAGGAGAAGGGGGCACCGCAGCCAAACCGCUCGACGGCGGCGCGUUCACCGCGAGGUGGACGCGCAACCGGCGAGGGGAAAGGCCACGGCGCUGCCGUCGGAACCUCUGCCGCAGUCGUUGUCCAGAUUGA